rnacentral:rRNA from 1 species
AUCAAAAACAUGUCUUUUUGAAUAAAAUAUAAGGUUUAAUCUGCUCAAUGAUGAUUAAUAAAUUAAAUAGCUGCAGUAUUUUGACUGUACAAAGGUAGCAUAAUAAAUAGUUCAUUAAUUGUGAACUGGAAUGAAUGAUUGGAUAAAAUAUUAGCUGUCUUAAAUUAAUAAAUUAAAAUUUAAUUUUUAAGUAAAAAAGCUUAAAUUUAUUUAAGGGACGAUAAGACCCUAUAGAUUUUUAUAUUUUUUAUGAUAUAGAGAUGAUAAUUUUAUAAAUUUUUAUGAUAUAAAAAAUAUUUUAAUGGGGAAUUAAUAAAAUAAAAAAAUUUUUAUUAAUGUAAAUUGAUAAUUUUCAAUUAAGUGAAUAAUUUUAAUUAUAUAAAAUAAAAAUACCUUAGGGAUAACAGCAUAAUAAUUUUUAAAAGUUCUUAUUUUAAAAAUUGAUUGUGACCUCGAUGUUG